rnacentral:rRNA from 1 species
CAGUCGCCACGGGAAUACGUAGGGUGCAAGCGUUAAUCGGAAUUACUGGGCGUAAAGAGCUCGUAGGCGGUUUGUCGCGUCGUCUGUGAAAUUCUGCAGCUUAACUGCAGGCGUGCAGGCGAUACGGGCAGACUUGAGUACUACAGGGGAGACUGGAAUUCCUGGUGUAGCGGUGAAAUGCGCAGAUAUCAGGAGGAACACCGGUGGCGAAGGCGGGUCUCUGGGUAGUAACUGACGCUGAGGAGCGAAAGCGUGGGUAGCGAACAGGAUUAGAUACCCCUGUAGUCCCUGUCUCUUAUAC